UACGAAGGGGGCGAGCGUUGUUCGGAAUUACUGGGCGUAAAGGGCGCGUAGGCGGCCCCUUUUGUCGCGUGUGAAAGCCCCGGGCUCAACCUGGGAGGUGCGCGCGAAACGGGGGGGCUUGAGUUCGGGAGAGGAGCGUGGAAUUCCCAGUGUAGAGGUGAAAUGCGUAGAUAUUGGGAGGAACACCGGUGGCGAAGGCGGCCCCCUGGACCGGUACUGACGCUGAGGCGCGAAAGCGUGGGGAGCAAACAGG
rnacentral:rRNA from 1 species